AAGUCGUAACAAGGUUUCCGUAGGUGAACCUGCGGAAGGAUCAUUAACACGUAUCCAAACGUUAAAACAACCCUGUGAAUAUUGAAUCUCAGUUCCCCCAGGGCAGAAAAAUGGGCUUCCUCUAGUAAAUCAUUGUCUUAACAAGGUUUUGAGUUAGAGGAUGGCGCACGAGUAGCACCUGUAUUGGGUCGAGCGUUUACAACUAUCCACUCCUGGUGCCCCCAAGCAACCAUCAAUCUGAAAGUGUUUGGUGAAUUGUGCAAGGGCAGCGCAGUCAACGAUCGGUGGUCCACACGGCCAUCGACCGGGGGUCGUUACUUCCUCGUGAGGGGGGGCCUAGUUCAUUCAGGUUGAACAUGAUGCAUGUCUACCGCGCCCGACGAAAGUCCGACGCACCCCUAACCGAACAACUGUUAACAAUGGAUAUCUUUGUUCUC
rnacentral:misc_RNA from 1 species